rnacentral:rRNA from 1 species
GAUGAAUGCUGGCGGCGUGCCUAAUACAUGCAAGUCGAGCGAACAGACGAGGAGCUUGCUCCACUGACGUUAGCGGCGGACGGGUGAGUAACACGUGGAUAACCUACCUAUAAGACUGGGAUAACUUCGGGAAACCGGAGCUAAUACCGGAUAAUAUAUUGAACCGCAUGGUUCAAUAGUGAAAGACGGUUUUGCUGUCACUUAUAGAUGGAUCCGCGCCGCAUUAGCUAGUUGGUAAGGUAACGGCUUACCAAGGCAACGAUGCGUAGCCGACCUGAGAGGGUGAUCGGCCACACUGGAACUGAGACACGGUCCAGACUCCUACGGGAGGCAGCAGUAGGGAAUCUUCCGCAAUGGGCGAAAGCCUGACGGAGCAACGCCGCGUGAGUGAUGAAGGUCUUCGGAUCGUAAAACUCUGUUAUUAGGGAAGAACAAAUGUGUAAGUAACUAUGCACGUCUUGACGGUACCUAAUCAGAAAGCCACGGCUAACUACGUG